rnacentral:rRNA from 1 species
CCUACGGGAGGCAGCAGUGGGGAAUAUUGGACAAUGGGGGGAACCCUGAUCCAGCGACGCCGCGUGAGUGAAGAAGUAUCUCGGUAUGUAAAGCUCUAUCAGCAGGGAAGAAAAUGAUGGUACCUGACUAAUAAGCCCCGUCUAACUACGUGCCAGCAGCCGUGGGAAUACGUAGGGGGCAAGCGUUAUCCGGAUUUACUGGGGGUAAAGGGAGCGUAGACGGUGCAGCCAGUCUGAUGUGAAAGGUUGGGGCCCAAGCCCGGGACUGCAUUGGAAACUGUUGGACUGGAGUACAGAAGAGGUAGGCGGAAUACGUUAAGUAGCGGUGAAAUGCUUAGAUAUAAGGAAGAACACCAGUGGCGAAGGCAGCUUACUAGACUGUAACUGACGUUGAGGCUCGAGAGCGUGGGGAGCAAACAGGAUUAGAUACCCUGGUAGUC